AGCAAGGCCAGGGACUGAACCCGCAACCUCAUGGUUCCUAGUCGGAUUCGUUAACCACUGCACCACGACGGGAACUCCUAUUAUUUUCUGUUAUAGUUAGUUUAUAGUGUUCCAUCAAUUUUCUCCUGUAGAGCAGUGACCUAGUCAUACACACACACACACACACACACACACACACACACACACACUCUCUUUGUGCCAUUUGGAAUUCUUACCAGCAACGAAUGGGAGUUCUUUUUGCUCCACAAACUUGCCAGAAUUUGGUGUUUUGUGUUCUCGGUUUAAGCCAUUCUAAUAUAUAUGUAGUGAUAUUUCAUUGCUGUUUUAAUUUGUAUUCUCCGGGGCCUCUUUUCAUGUGCUUAUUUGCUAUCUGUAUAUCUUCUUUGGUGAGAUAUCUGUUGAGGUCUUUGGCCUUGUUUUAAUUGAAAUCUCUUCUUAUUAUUGGGUUUUAAGCUUUAUUUUCGUAUUUUGGAUAACAGCCCUCUGUCAGAUGGGUCUUUUGCCAAUAUUGCCUCCCAGUCUGUGGCUUGUCUUUUCAUUCACUUGACAUCAUUUUUCGCAGAGCAGAAAGUUUUUAUUUUAGUGAAAUCCAGCUCAUCACCUCUUUCUUUCAUGGAUCAUAUCUUUGGUGUUUGACCUCACAAGUCAUUGCCAAGCCCAGGAUCAUCUGGAUUCUCUCCUCUGUUGCCUUCCAGGAGUUUUAUAGGUUUGCAUUUUACAUUCACAUUUGUGAUCCAUUUUGAGUUAAUUUUUCUGAAGAGCAAUCUGGGUCUGGAUUAAAUUUUUUUUUUGCAUUUGGAUGUUCAGUUGUUCAGUUGGUGUUUAAUUUUAUUUAUAAAUAAAUAACCUUUAUUUGGAGUUCCUCUGUAGUGCAACAGGAUCGGCUGCAUCUUGGGGGCGCUAGGACACACAUUCGAUCCCCAGCCCGGCACAGUGGGUUAAGGAUCCAGCAUUGCCGCAGCUGUGGCUUAGGUUGCAGCUAGAGCUCGGAUCUGAUCCCUGGCUCAGGAGCUCCAUGUGCCGCAGCGUGGCCGAAAAAGAAAACAAACAAACAAAAAACCAUUUACCUAUUACUACAGCAGACUAUUUCAGCCUGCAUUUACCAAGCAAGCAUCACCGAAUGUUGUGUUUCACAAUAUUCUUUCGGGACAAGUUAGAAGGUUAGACCCACUAAACAAGCUGGAGAGGCCAUGCAUCUAGUUCUCCCUCUUUGAGAUUCAAAUAUUCAGAGCAUAUUAAAAGUUCUGAUGAGUCCUAAUCAGACGGCUUGUCUCUGUGUUUCCCAAACUUAUUUCACUGGUCACUCACUUUUUGCCCCCGAUUCUACUAAUUUCUCCAAGAAUUAAUGCUCCUGAACACACUUUAGGAAAUGCUUUUCCGGUCUCGUAUUCUUUUGCCUCCUUUCAAUCGCAUCUUCAUCAAGGAAUUGCUUUCUUACUUAUUCACAGGUUUAUGUCCAAUGGACAUUAGUAUUGCUGGAAUAUUAAGUACAUAUAAAAAUAGCUAGACAGGAUGCAUGAACUCAGUGAUAUAUUUUGUCCAUGUCCACCAUGCCUAAAACACAGCCCAUUCAAUCAAAAUUCUUCGCACGCUCAACACCAACAGCUAAUUACGCUUGCAGUCAAAUGCAGUGAGACGCUCCUUGUUAAAGCCACAGUCACAACACUCACACCCUGCAAAUACUGAAUACAAUAGUACUUCACACGAGCUCUUCAUCCACAGAGACACAUGGAUGACAUCCAUUUCGUUAUUUCAUCCAAGUAUUCAACCGAGGGCAAUGGAAAACAAUUUGGAAGCUAUAAAUUGUCACGGAAUUGAUGCAUGUGAGAUCACCACGCUGGUGUUGGCUGCUUUGAAGCUUUCAUGUGGAAAUGUGGGUUAUCACAUCAGAUUUGGGAUACUGACUUGAUGCUAAAUAUUCAUUAACCAGACUAAAAUCUAUCACCUAUUCAGAUAAUUUCAGUCCCUUCUCUCUUAGUCAAUCCAGAUCUUCCAAAUAUCUUCCUAGCUUCCUCUCUACCUCCCUAUCUAGGUAUGCCUGGGAUUUCUGCACUAAUGACCCUGCGUAUUACCAGAAACUUGGACCGCAGAGGCAGGAAAUGAAGUGUUGAAAAAAAGUGAGAAAGAAGCCUCCUGAAAAAAACCAACCAAAACAUUAAAGAAAAGAUAAAACCUCCCAGAAAAAAAGAAAAAAAAAAACAAAAACAAGAAAAAACCCCCACAAAACUAAUUGAACCCUCAGAAAUAUGUUUUUAACAUUCACAGGAAUUAUUAUACAUAUUUUAUGGGGGAAAAGAAACUUAAAACAGAGAAGAGACUCCAAAACUCUGUCAUAUGCCAACAACAUACACCAGAAAUAACUAACUCCAUCCCGCCACUUAGCAAAAUAACUGGGUGAAAGUUCUUGGUUUCCAGGGAUGCUAAAUAACCCACAGGGCUGAUGAUGAUGAGAUGAUUAGCAUAUGCUUACGUUUUUCAGGACUGAAUUUCCAAUAAAUGCCUUCCUUGGCUAAAACGUUUACAUUUAAAGAAAUGUGCAAUAAGGCACAGGCUUAUUUCUAGCCCCAUCUAAGCCCCAGAAUUCUGCAGAUACCAGUUUAAAUUGGUAAGGCAUUUUUUUUUUUUCAUACCAGUUGCUUAACAGGAUUUUGCUCCAUCAAGCACACAUUAAAAAAAAAAAAAUUUGAAGUGACACACUACAUCAUAGCUGGAAACAACAAAACAUUUAAAAGGUCUUUUGUAUAACAUAUUGCAAGUCGCCAGCUGUUUUUCUGAUCCAUAGAGCAAAUCCUACUCUGAAAGACUGCUGCCCAGAAGGCACGCGCUGACAUUGAUUUGAAUCCACCAGCUCUCCCGGUGGAUCAGAUGGCAUCUCAGCACUGGAAUCAGUAUUGCUAUCACAUACUCAUAUGUCGCCUCAUGGGACAAGAGCUGCAAGAAAUAUGAAGGGAAAUUGCUCCCGUUAGGGGACAGCUACAUUUAUUCCCGUUAAAAAAAAAAAAAAAGCCACCACCUAGAGUGUGCAUAUUUAAAUGCCGCUUAACUGAAAAAAGAGUCCACCCUUUUUUGCCCAAAUGUUAAUACACUCAGCAUAAUAAUCCACCAUGUCUGUUUCCUAGCCCUAUUCUUAGCCUUCCUUGGGGUUGAGCUAACUAGCCAAGUUCUUUUCAAGGCCAUGUGAAAAGGAUUUGUCCUCUCAGAAACUCACCACCAAAGACAUUUCAGAAAAAUGUCUGAAGGGGCUUCCACUUCUGCCUUUGUGUCCGUGUCCAACCUCGGAAGCGCACCCACCUUCCCAGAAAGAGGAAGGGCUCUUUCCAUCUGUGAAUCAGGUUCAGGGACAUUUCUACAUUUUUAUUUAUUCUUCAAUUUCCAGGAUGGUCCUUUAGUUUGAAGGACGACAACCAUUUGGGGGAAAGCAAUUUCAAAUUUUAACUGAUUUUCUAAGCCACAAAUAACGUGGCUUCACUUGAUGGAAAGCUGUGUCAUGCACCUAAGAGUUCAUUAGCUCUCUUGGCCUUUGCUUCUUCACAUGAACAAAAAGAUCCUGACUCCAAGUAAAUGUCUGUGAAGCUCAGUAAUUCCAAACAGCCUGGCUUCAGCCUAGGCUCACAGAAAAACACAGAGCCCUACCCCAAACCAUAUGCUUAUAUCCAUCCAUUCAUCCAUCCAUCCAUCUAUCCAUCCCCCCAACAGAUUACUUAUUGAAUACCCACUAUAAACCUAAAAACACAGGCAUGGAUAAACAGACAAGGACUCUGCUGUCACACAACUCACCAUGCAGGAAGGAGGUAUGAUUAUUCAUAGGAUGUGUUACCCUAAAAACACUGUGAGUCAAUCACAGCUGUUGUAUUCAAAAGGUUUACCUUAAUUCUAUGCUUUUCUCAGUGGGUUCUGUGCCAGGAAAAUAUUCAGGACAACAUCUUCGGUUUAAGAAGAUAAAAUACAUUUAGCAAAAGAAGAUGACACUUGUCCUCUAAAGAUACAGCCUGUCAGAUAUUCUUAAACAGAUAAGAACCUUAACGGAAGAACUCAGAAAUACAUUUAAUAUAUAACACUAAGCACGUGAUGGAAGCAUAAAUGAUGUCAGUAUGAUAAAUUGUCACUUAAGUAUUUCAUUCAGAAAAAAGUAAAAUAAAUUCUUGUGGGUUUCAGAUCGUAAAGGAAGACAGCAUUAAAUGCAGAGCUUGUUUAGCAAAAAUAAAUCCAAUAGUCACAGUAGCAAGAGCCUCAUGGGAAUAACAGGUCAUUAGAAGCUUUUAAGAGUCUCAUAACAGAUGACAUUCCCUUAGGUCUUUUUCAAUCCCAACUUGGCCCAAGUCAUUCUCUUUCUUGGGCUGUUUUUUAAGUCAGUAGGCUGCAGUAUAAUACAUCUUGACAUCAUAACCUAAAAUAUCAGAUCAGCUCAAUUGUUAUGCAAGUAAUGUUGCUUUGCAAAUGACUGCUGGGAGAGGGGCUGCCACCAAGUGAAGAGGAAAAUGCGUGCCACGUCCACUCCCCGCUGCCUGUGGCUUAAUCUGAAAUAACAUCUGUGAAGGAACAUGUGACACUUCGAUCCAACAAUGCAUUUGACGGGCAAAAGUAUCUGUAAUAAAAUUUCGAGUACAAGGGAAUCAGGACGCUGCAGCUUUCACCUCUGCCUGUCCCUACUCCCACCGCCCCACCUCUGCCCAACUCCCCCCCAGGAAAGGGGCCGGCGGGAAUUGGCUCGCUAUGGAGAUCAGCUCUGUAUAGUGUUCACCCAACAGCAGCGAUGGGUUUCUCCUUUUCGAGCACAGUGUGACCCUCUUAGAAUCUCAAGGAGGCUGCUAACACAGUGUUCUUCUCUGUGCAAC
rnacentral:lncRNA from 1 species